ncrna:unclassified sequences Cyanobacterial ribosomal protein S1 leader
AUACAUAUCACAAAUGUUUUUUGCUAUUGGUUUGCAGGCUAGUAGCAUUCCUUUCUAACUACCUUAGGUAGUCUGCGAC